AGAGUUUGAUCAUGGCUCAGGAUGAACGCUGGCGGCGUGCCUAACACAUGCAAGUCGAGCGAGAAAUUAAGAAAAGAAACUUCGGUCGAAUUUCUUAAUGGAAAGCGGCGGACGGGUGAGUAACGCGUAGGCAACCUGCCCUUAGCAGGGGGAUAGCCACCGGAAACGGUGAUUAAAACCCCAUAAUGCGGAGGAUUCACAUGUAACCUCCGCCAAAGAUUUAUCGGCUAAGGAUGGGCCUGCGUCUGAUUAGAUAGUUGGUGAGGUAACGGCCCACCAAGUCAACGAUCAGUAGCCGACCUGAGAGGGUGAUCGGCCACAUUGGAACUGAGACACGGUCCAAACUCCUACGGGAGGCAGCAGUGGGGAAUAUUGCACAAUGGGCGAAAGCCUGAUGCAGCCACGCCGCGUGAAGGAUGAAGGUCUUCGGAUCGUAAACUUCUGUCCUUGGGGAAGAAGAAGUGACGGUACCCAUGGAGGAAGCCCCGGCUAACUACGUGCCAGCAGCCGCGGUAAUACGUAGGGGGCGAGCGUUAUCCGGAAUUAUUGGGCGUAAAGAGUGCGUAGGUGGUUUUCUAAGCGCAGGGUUUAAGGCUAUGGCUUAACCAUAGUUCGCCCUGCGAACUGGAUAACUUGAGUGCAGGAGGGGAAAGCGGAAUUCCUAGUGUAGCGGUGAAAUGCGUAGAUAUUAGRAGGAACACCAGUGGCGAAGGCGGCUUUCUGGACUGAAACUGACACUGAGGCACGAAAGCGUUGGGGAGCAAACAGGAUUAGAUACCCUGGUAGUYCACGCCGUAAACGAUGAGCACUAGGUGUCGGGGGAGAACCCUCGGUGCCGGAGUUAACGCAAUAAGUGCUCCGCCUGGGGAGUACGCACGCAAGUGUAAAACUCAAAGGAAUUGACGGGGACCCGCACAAGCAGCGGAGCAUGUGGUUUAAUUCGAAGCAACGCGAAGAACCUUACCAGGUCUUGACAUCCUCUUGAAAGCCGGGGUAACGCCCGGACCUCUUCGGACAAGAGAGACAGGUGGUGCAUGGUUGUCGUCAGCUCGUGUCGUGAGAUGUUGGGUUAAGUCCCGCAACGAGCGCAACCCUUGCCUGUAGUGGCCAGCGAUUCCGCUCGGGCACUCUAGAGGGACUGCCGGGGACAACUCGGAGGAAGGUGGGGAUGACGUCAAAUCAUCAUGCCCCUUAUGAUCUGGGCUACACACGUGCUACAAUGGCCGGUACAACAGGAAGCGAAGGAGUGAUCCGGAGCGAAUCCCCAAAGCCGGUCCCAGUUCGGAUUGUAGGCUGCAACCCGCCUACAUGAAGUCGGAGUUGCUAGUAAUCGCGGAUCAGAAUGCCGCGGUGAAUGCGUUCCCGGGUCUUGUACACACCGCCCGUCACACCAUGGAAGUUGGGGGUGCCCGAAGUUGGUUAAUUAAUCUACUACCUAAGGCAAAACCAAUGACUGGGGUGAAGUCGUAACAAGGUAACCGUA
rnacentral:rRNA from 1 species